GAUGAACGCUGGCUCCAGGCUUAACACAUGCGAGUCGAGGGGAAACGACGGGGAAGCUUGCUUCCCCGGGCGUCGACCGGCGCACGGGUGAGUAACGCGUAUCCAACCUGCCUCUGACUGAGGGAUAACCCGUCGAAAGUCGGCCUAAUACCUCAUGGUAUCGUCUGCGGGCAUCCAACGACGAUUAAAGAUUUCAUCGGUCAGGGAUGGGGAUGCGUCUGAUUAGCUUGUUGGCGGGGUAACGGCCCACCAAGGCUACGAUCAGUAGGGGUUCUGAGAGGAAGGUCCCCCACAUUGGAACUGAGACACGGUCCAAACUCCUACGGGAGGCAGCAGUGAGGAAUAUUGGUCAAUGGGCGAGAGCCUGAACCAGCCAAGUAGCGCGCAGGAAGACGGCCCUAUGGGUUGUAAACUGCUUUUAUGCGGGGAUAAAGUGAGGGACGUGUCCCUCAUUGCAGGUACCGCAUGAAUAAGGACCGGCUAAUUCCGUG
rnacentral:rRNA from 1 species